AACUUGUGUCAGAUAGCACUGAUGUCAAUAAAUGAAGUUUAGUUCAUUUGUUCAUUUAUGCUUUCAAAGAUGCCGAAACGCCUGCCUUUAUGUAGCUUACAUUCCAGUGGGAGGACAGACAAUACAUAAACAAUUAUGAUAAACGACCAAAAGACUUUCCCCAGGGAAAAGAAAAUCCAAUGGUCCAGAGAACUUCUACAAUUUAUUCCUCCACACUUGGAGUCUUCAUGUCUCGUAAAGUUUCUCCACAUUAGUUUCUUCUCGGUACAACUCAAUAGCCUCCAUAAUCCUCUCAGCCUACAGAGGAUGAGAAAGGAAAGAAGUCAUCACAACAUACUCCAUCAUCCCAGGACACUGAAACUGGAAGAACUGACCAGAAAUUUGCCAAAUGAAAUAGCUUCAAUCUGUUUAAUAAAGACGUGCGAAUAGAGUGCCAAAAAGCA
rnacentral:lncRNA from 1 species